GAGGAAAAGAAACCAACAGGGAUUGCCUCAGUAACGGCGAGUGAAGCGGCAAGAGCUCAAAUUUGAAAUCUGGCUCCUUCGGGGCCCGAGUUGUAAUUUGGAGAGGAUGCUUCGGGCGUGGCCCCCAUCUAAGUGCCCUGGAACGGGCCGUCAUAGAGGGUGAGAAUCCCGUCUGGGAUGGGUGGUCCCGCCCGUGUGAAGCUCCUUCGAAGAGUCGAGUUGUUUGGGAAUGCAG
rnacentral:rRNA from 1 species